rnacentral:rRNA from 1 species
AUGAGAAUUUCCAUUGAUGAGUGCAAAGAAAGAACCGCUAGGAUGCGUGCUAAGAAAGAUUGCUUUGUGAAAGCACGUUCUUCUAAUUUCUAUGAAAAUAAAGAUGGAGAUCUAAAAGUUAUUGAUGUGUCCCCUAUUAAAUCUUUGUUUUGCAAUAUGAAUCUUGAUAAUGAUGGGACUGAAUAUGAUCCACCUUUACCUAGAAGGCGUUCCAAAAAUUCGGAGUUUUUAGAUCUUGAUGCAAAAAUUGGUAAAAGUGGGAUUGAAGAGAUCAAAACUCUAGAUAUUAAUGAACCCACUAUUUUGGAUUUCAAGGAAUUUAAUUAUGAUAAUUGCUCUUUGAUAGAUUGUAUUUCCUUGUUGCAAUCCGUGUUAAAUUCUCCACAUGCUUAUAGUCAACAUAAAGCUUUUACUAAACAUAUCGUUGAUACUUUGAUGCAAUCUUAUGAAGAAAAACUUGAGUUGGAAGUUUCUAUCCCUAGAAAACUUUAUGAUGAGUGGGAACCUACUAUUAAAAUUAAAAUUAAAGAUCAUGUGUGCUAUGCUUUGUGUGACUUGGGUGCUAGUGUUUCCACGAUUCCAAAAACUUUGUGUGAUUUGCUAGGUUUCCGUGAUUUUGAUGAUUGCUCUUUAAACUUGCACCUUGCGGAUUCCACCAUUAAGAAACCUAUGGGAAGAAUUAAUGAUGUUCUUAUUAUUGCAAAUAGGAAUUAUGUGCCCGUAGAUUUUAUUGUUCUUGAUAUAGAUUGCAAUCCUUUAUGUCCUAUUAUUCUUGGUAGACCUUUCCUUAGAACGAUUGGUGCAAUUAUUGAUAUUAAGGAAGGGAAUAUUAGAUUCCAAUUUCCGUUAAGGAAAGUCAUGGAACACUUCCCUAGAAAGAAAAUAAAAUUACCUUAUGAAUCUAUUAUAAGAUCCACUUAUGGAUUGCCUACCAAAGAUGGCAAUACCUAG